ensembl:snRNA U6 U6 spliceosomal RNA
UUGCUUGUGUCAGCAGCACAUAUACUAAAAUUGGAAUGAUACACAGAAGAUUAGCAUGGUCCCUGCCUAAGGAUGACAUGCAAUUUCGUAAAGCAUUCCAUUAACUA